CACUGUACAACCUCUUGAUUUCAGCUUAAUGAGCCAGCUGGUCGUGUGCGUGGGACGGCGAACAUGAGAGAACCCAAGUGUGUCAGUGAGGGGAAAUCUGCAUACAGGCAGGAAGAAGUUUGACAGAAUCUCUUGGAAGCUGUUCAUCACCAUGCAGCUCCAGCUGGAGCAGGUUUCUCUCCUCUCUACUACUGUACCCAGAGCGAGGGCCCUGGUCUCAGCAGCUUCCUGUCUCACAAAAGACCCCUCUGUUUCCCCCCUCUGAGCUUCCUUUGCUGCCACCCCACCCCCUUCCUCAACACCCCUGUGGUACAUUCCCUCCCUCUCCCAUGGUGCAUUCCUUAUUGACCUCGGCCUGCUGAGGAGUCCCUCUGUCAGCGGGCUCUGUGAGAGAACUGAGCCUUCUCUGAACUGUGGAAGCACUCGUUCGGUUUUCCUUUCAACUCCAAUCCAUCUGUAGAGUUUCUCUCCACAUAUGGGUUGAGUAGUUAAA